rnacentral:rRNA from 1 species
CCUACGGGAGGCUGCAGUAGGGAAUCUUCCACAAUGGGCGAAAGCCUGAUGGAGCAACGCCGCGUGGGUGAAGAAGGUCUUCGGAUCGUAAAACCCUGUUGUUAGAGAAGAAAGUGCGUGAGAGUAACUGUUCACGUUUCGACGGUAUCGAACCAGAAAGCCACGGCUAACUACGGAACAGCAGCGGCGGGAAUACGUAGGGGGAAAGCGUUAUCCGGAUUUGUUGGGCGUAAAGGGAACGCAGGCGGUCUUUUAAGUCUGAUGUGAAAGCCUUCGGCUUAACCGGAGUAGUGCAUUGGAAACUGGGAGACUUGAGUGCAGAAGAGGAGAGUGGAACUCCAUGUGUAGCGGUGAAAUGCGUAGAUAUAUGGAAGAACACCAGUGGCGAAAGCGGCUCUCUGGUCUGUAACUGACGCUGAGGUUCGAAAGCGUGGGUAGCAAACAGGAUUAGAUACCCUAGUAGUC